rnacentral:rRNA from 1 species
AUUGAACGCUGGCGGCAGGCCUAACACAUGCAAGUCGAGCGGAUGAAGGGAGCUUGCUCCUGGAUUCAGCGGCGGACGGGUGAGUAAUGCCUAGGAAUCUGCCUGGUAGUGGGGGAUAACGUCCGGAAACGGGCGCUAAUACCGCAUACGUCCUGAGGGAGAAAGUGGGGGAUCUUCGGACCUCACGCUAUCAGAUGAGCCUAGGUCGGAUUAGCUAGUUGGUGGGGUAAAGGCCUACCAAGGCGACGAUCCGUAACUGGUCUGAGAGGAUGAUCAGUCACACUGGAACUGAGACACGAUCCAGACUCCUACGGGAGGCAGCAGUGGGGAAUAUUGGACAAUGGGCGAAGGCCUGAUCCAGCCAUGCCGCGUGUGUGAAGAAGGUCUUCGGAUUGUAAAGCACUUUAAGUUGGGAGGAAGGGCAGUAAGUUAAUACCUUGCUGUUUUGACGUUACCAACAGAAUAAGCACCGGCUAACUUCGUG